rnacentral:rRNA from 1 species
UACGUAGGGUGCGAGCGUUGUCCGGAAUUAUUGGGCGUAAAGAGCUCGUAGGCGGUGUGUCACGUCGGCCGUGAAAACCUGCAGCUUAACUGUGGGCGUGCGGUCGAUACGGGCAUCACUGGAGUUCGGCAGGGGAGACUGGAAUUCCUGGUGUAGCGGUGAAAUGCGCAGAUAUCAGGAGGAACACCGGUGGCGAAGGCGACAUCCUGGACCGGUAUUGACGCUGAGGCGCGAAAGCCAGGGGGAGCAAACGGG